UGGGGAAUCUUGGACAAUGGGGGCAACCCUGAUCCAGCCAUGCCGCGUGAGUGAUGAAGGCCUUAGGGUCGUAAAGCUCUUUCGCCUGUGAAGAUAAUGACGGUAGCAGGUAAAGAAACCCCGGCUAACUCCGUGCCAGCAGCCGCGGUAAUACGGAGGGGGUUAGCGUUGUUCGGAAUUACUGGGCGUAAAGCGCGCGUAGGCGGAUUGUUAAGUCGGGGGUGAAAGUCCCGGGGCUCAACCCCGGAACUGCCUUCGAUACUGGCAAUCUAGAGAUCUGGAGAGGCGAGUGGAAUUCCGAGUGUAGAGGUGAAAUUCGUAGAUAUUUGGAGGAACACCAGUGGCGAAGGCGGCUCACUGGCUCGAUACUGACGCUGAGGUGCGAAAGUGUGGGGAGCAAACAGGAUUAGAUACCCUGGUAGUCCACACCGUAAACGAUGAAUGCCAGUCGUCGGGUAGCAUGCUAUUCGGUGACACACCUAACGGAUUAAGCAUUCCGCCU
rnacentral:rRNA from 1 species